rnacentral:misc_RNA from 1 species
GAUGAAGAACGUAGCGAAAUGCGAUAAGUAAUGUGAAUUGCAGAAUUCAGUGAAUCAUCGAAUCUUUGAACGCACAUUGCGCCCGCCAGUAUUCUGGCGGGCAUGCCUGUUCGAGCGUCAUUUCAACCAUCAAGCCCCCGGCUUGUGUUGGGGACCUGCGGCUGCCGCAGGCCCUGAAAAGCAGUGGCGGGCUCGCUGUCACACCGAGCGUAGUAGCAUACAUCUCGCUCUGGGCGUGCUGCGGGUUCCGGCCGUUAAACCACCUUCAUAACCCAAGGUUGACCUCAGAUCAGGUAGGAAGACCCGCUGAACUUAAGCAUAUCAAUAAGCGGAGGA